UACGAAGGGGGCUAGCGUUGUUCGGAAUUACUGGGCGUAAAGCGCACGUAGGCGGGUUGUUAAGUCAGGGGUGAAAUCCUGGAGCUCAACUCCAGAACUGCCUUUGAUACUGGCAACCUAGAGACUGGAAGAGGUUAGUGGAAUUCCCAGUGUAGAGGUGAAAUUCGUAGAUAUUGGGAAGAACACCAGUGGCGAAGGCGGCUAACUGGUCCAGCACUGACGCUGAGGUGCGAAAGCCAGGGGAGCGAAUGGG
rnacentral:rRNA from 1 species